CUCCUGAGUUCAGGAGAAUAAGAGGAAGGUGGCGGGAGGCGGAGUAAGUACUGAACUCCUUAAAUAGUGCGCGACCCAGGCAGGAUCUACACUGGGACUGGCUUGUGAAGUGUUAGAAAAUGGCAGACCUGCGCGCCCAGGAAGAUGGGGAGGGCCUGGAGCGCCAGACCUCCCUGCCGAAGCUGCAAGCCUUGUGCUGACUGGAGUGCAGGAAGCUCGCGGCCUGCAGGAAAAGGGAUCUGAAUGAGGCAGGAGGACAGACUCAGAUCUUACAGAGAAACAUGUUAAUAGCCAACGCAGUGGACGCACUUUACAAGGUCACAGACAGAGUGGCUUUGGCUGGAGUAGCCACUGCUGGGAAAAGCAUCCAGGACGCAUUUCGAGUGAUCGUGUGGGCGGUGUCACCUUCACUGCGAUGUAGAGUAACAGGGAUAAAUAAGAUGCGGCGAGUUGGAGAUGCGUGCAUGGCAAGCUAAGUGGACCUGCGGGGCGUCCUCCCAGCGCUGCGGGCGAAUGGGAGGCGCCAGAGACCAAGGAGGGGUCGGUCAGAGCCAGCGCGGAGCGAGCAGAAACUGAGCUGGGGCCCUGCAGGAUGAUGAGGAAUGGGUUUCUGGAGGAUGAAGGACCGGGACAGGGAGCAUGCAGAGCAGCCUCCAGGAGGCUAGCAAGUACGCCAGGCUGGGCGGGGCCGGGACACCCGAGCAGGGGUUGGCACCUCCAGCCUCUCGGGUGCGCCCCGCAGCGGCAGGCACCGGGCCGCGGACCCAGGCAGGCUCUCCCUUGGUACCUCGGAGAGCUGGGCACCAGAGCAGCUGGAGUUCGGCUCUGAGUACCACCCGACCAUCCCUACUACCACAGGCGCCGGGCGAGCGCAGGCCGCGCCUCCGGGGCCCGAGGGCCUGGCGACGUCACCAAGGCUCUGACGCGCGCUAACCCCGGCGCGGGCUUCCUACCGGCAGGUCCGAGUCCUUGAAACCCACCACCGCAUCCUUGGCCCUCCUCCCGGAGAACCUAGAUCUUGCUAAUUCGGGAAGACUCUUAGUUCUUCAGGAACUGAUAAGGACGCGAGCUAAUAGUUUAUAUAUAAAAUAAUAAUAAAGAUUUUUAAUAAUGCCAGGAAAGAAAUACCCAGACCCAAGAAACAGACUAAUAAUAACCAGCCAGCUAAAUCCCUGCUCCCGUGCUCAGCACUCUAACGAACAAUAAUGACGACAACAGCCAUAAUAGCCACAGUUUAUUGAGCGCUUACUCUGCCACGGCAGUGUUAAGCGCUUUGCAGGCAACAACCCUCGGAGGCGCAGGAUGGGGAUGCCUCUCCUGGAAUCCAGUCCCAGACCAGGCUGCGCGAUCACGGAAGGGACGGAGCGGGGGCGGAGGCAGCAGUAGGGAUCCGGAGUCCCAUUUGACCAGCCGUGGGGCCAGGCUCCAGAUUUGCCCCCCGAGGCCGGCAGAGGGCGCUGCCGCACGCGCAUGGAGUUUCACUACUGUCAGCUCUGCCUAUGCACACCUUGCAAUGGCUUUUCUUCUUCAGGUGAAUCCCUCCAUCCCCGAUCUUAGACCUGCUUCUUUAGACUGAGCAAUUGCUAUCCCUUCAAGGCUUCCCAAGCCCCAACCGGCUCGCCCUUGUUCUGUAAAGGCAUCCAUUCCGUUAAAAAGCCUAGGUAUUCCAAAUUCAGCGCGGUCUGGCCUCCCCUUCUGGUGAGUCUGUGAGAGAUGUAAAAUGGAGGUAGAUCCUCCACUUGAAAUAGAUAACGAAUUUUCUUUCCUUUCCAAAACGGGAAAUGAAGACUAUAGAAGGAGCCGACAGUUGAAACGGUCUAUUUUCAUAAUAGUCACCGCCUAUUGGUCGCUCCUUUUGCUCCAGGACUUUUUAGACCUUGGCUCGCUAUGGCCUGAACAUUGUGAAUCAUGAUUCCCAUUGAUGUAAAUCCCGAAAACUAAUAAAUAAUGAGACCAGGAUUUGAUCCAGGAGCUCUACACUUAAAGCCACAUUCCCAAAACCAAAAUGCACAAGUGGUUAAUCCCAGCACUCAGGAGGCAGAGGCAGGAGGAUCUCUGUGAGUUCGAGGCCGGGCUGGUCCGACAGCCUCCAAAACAAUACAGAGAAACCCUGUCUUGUAAAACCAAAAAAAAAAAAAUGCACAAGUGGACAACUGAUCCAAAGGGGUUGGUUAUAACCCAAAUCUAGGGUGCUUAGCAAAACCCUACCAUGAAUGGAGUUUGUCCAGCUUUUUUUUUUUUUUCCCUGAGACUGGGUUUCUCUGUGGCUUUGGAAGUUGCCCUGUCCUGGAACUAGUUCUUGUAGACCAGGCUGAUCUCGAACUCACAGAGAUCUGCCUGCCUCUGCUUCCCCAGUGCUGGGUUUAAAGGCAUGUGCCACCAGUGCCCGGCAUUAGUCAAGCUUUCUGAAGUCCUCUUUAAAAUAAAGGCUAAAGGUACCAUGA